GACGAACGCUGGCGGCGUGCUUAACACAUGCAAGUCGAACGGAAAGGCCUGCUUUCCCUUGUGGAUUGCGGGUACUCGAGUGGCGAACGGGUGAGUAACACGUGAGUGAUCUGCCCCCAACUUGGGUAUAAGCCUGGGAAACUGGGUCUAAUUCCCGAUAGGACUGCAGGGUGGUGCCUGUGGUGGAAAACGAUUUUCUAGUGGUUGGGGAUGAGCUCGCGGCCUAUCAGCUGGGUGGUGGGGUAAUGGCCUACCAAGGCGGCGACGGGUAGCCGGCCUGUGAUGGUGGACGGCCACAUUGGGACUGGGAUACGGCCCCGACUCCUACGGGCGGCAGCAGUUGGUAAUCUUGCACAAUGGGCGGAAGCCUGAUGCAGCGACGCCGCGUGGGGGAUGACGGCCUUCGAGUUGUAAUCUCCUUUCGACCGCGAGGAAGCCACCUGGUUGGAAGGGUGGUGACGGUAGUGGUAGAAGAAGCACCGGCUAACUACGUG
rnacentral:rRNA from 1 species